AACGAACGCUGGCGGCAGGCUUAACACAUGCAAGUCGAACGCGUGUAGCAAUACACGAGUGGCGCACGGGUGAGUAACGCGUGGAUAUCUUCCUUUUGGUUCGGAAUAACCCCGGGAAACUGGGGCUAAUACCGGAUGGUUCCUUCGGGAUCAAGAUUUAUCGCCAAAAGAUGAGUCCGCGUACAAGUAGCUAGUGGGUGAGGUAAUGGCUCACCAAGGCGACGAUCGUUAGAUGGUCUGAGAGGACGAUACGCAACACUGGGACUGAGACACGGCCCAGACUCCUACGGGAGGCAGCAGUGGGGAAUAUUGGACAAUGGGGGCAACCCUGAUCCAGCCAUGCCGCGUGAGUGAUGAAGGCCUUCGGGUUGUAAAGCUCUUUUGGCGGGGACGAUGAUGACGGUACCCGCAGAAUAAGCCCCGGCUAACUUCGUGCCAGCAGCCGCCGUAACAC
rnacentral:rRNA from 1 species